rfam:Brachypodium distachyon strain Bd21 chromosome 1, whole genome shotgun sequence.
UUUCUACUCCUUCCGUCUCGUAUUAAGUGAUUUUUUAUUACAUGUAUCUAGACGCUUUUUAAACAUAGAUACAUUCAUAUUUGGACAAAAUUGAGUCACUUAAUAUGAGACGGAGGGAGUAUGUC